GGGGCUGUGGCUGAAUGGUAAAGUACCUGUUUUGCAAGCAGGAGGUCCCAGGUUCAAUUCCUGCCAUCUUCA